UUAAUACUCCCUCCGUCCGAAAAUUCUUGUCUCGGGUUUGUCUAGAAAUGGAUGUAUCUAAAUACUAAAGCAUGACUAGAUACAUUCAUAUCUAGAUAAAUCUAAGACAAGAAUUUUGGGACAGAGGGAGUAGUUU
rfam:Hordeum vulgare subsp. vulgare, WGS project CAJW01000000 data, contig: morex_contig_1562690